CGCGGUAUUUUGACUGUGCGAAGGUAGCAUAAUCAUUUGUCUUUUAAUUGAAGACUUGUAUGAAUGGCUGAACGAGAAAAUAACUGUCUCUUUAAAAAAUCUUGAACUUUACUUUUUAGUGAAAAGGCUUAAAUAACUUUAAAGGACGAUAAGACCCUAUAAAUCUUUAUAUUAUUUUUCUUAAACUUUCAAAUUAUAUUUUAAAAGAAAGAAAAGAAAAAAAAUAUUAUAUUGGGGAGAUAAAAAUAUAAUUUUUAACUGUUUAAAAUAUAAAACAAUAAUUUUUGAUUUAUUAAAAAUUGAUCCUUUUUAAAGAUUUUAAGAUUAAGUUACUUUAGGGAUAACAGCGUAAUUUUUUUUGAGAGUUCUUAUCGAAAAAAAAGUUUGCGACCUCGAUGUUGAAUUAAAAAUAUCCUUAUAAGUGCAGAAGCUAUAAAGGAAAGUCUGUUCGACUUUUAAAAUUUUACGU
rnacentral:rRNA from 1 species